GGAAAUUUCAUGUAUAUAUCAUUUUUUACACUUCAUAAUGUAUUUGAAGAUGUUAGAAAAUUGAUCAAAUACCAAUGUUACAUAUUACAUCUCAUUAUGUUGCACUUACUAAGCUCAAUAUCAUACUCCUCUGACAUACAUCCUAAUAACAACUACGGCAAAAUAAUUUCAUGAUAAAGAUUGUACAUAAAGAAUAACCUAUUCUCAUACUUUAAUAUAUCAAAUAUGCUAUUGAAGCUAUUUACCGAACACAGUGUGGCACAGGACCUGCUGUGGGAAAAAUAAGAAACAAUGAAUAAUAAACAAAUGGAUGAGAAAAAUCUUUUGAUAAUUGGAAAGACAGGUCCAAGAACAGAUAAGUAGAAAAAAGGUUCCUCCAACCAAAGGAAGAGAAGCUGUGUGAUUCGAAGAAGAUGAGGCCAAGCAUAAAAGAAACACGCCUAUAUAUGGUAACCAACUCCUCUUGAAAUAAUCCACAAAGACACUUUGGUCAACAUAUACUUGCAUGAACUCUUCAAUCGCAUCCACAACAUUUGGUCCACUUCUUGUAGAAUACAAAAUCCAGCCCAAGUGCUUAAACAUCUCUCGCUGCACAUCAAUGUUGCAGCAUUUCUUUAAAAGGCUUCUUAUCCAAGCACGACGAACAUGCCAGGUGCAUAAUAGCAUCCGACAAUGGAAAGCUUCUCUGCAAAAUCUUAUGACAGAAAUUUCAAGGGAAGGAUCAUCAACUAGAAAGGCAUUGGGCCUCCAUCUGGGAUCCUUGGUCCGGAUUUUUUCAGCUAGAGAACCAAACCAUUUGUGGAUAUCUGGACUAAUCAAUGAGGUAAUGACCCACACAACCAGAAUUGCAUUUUGAGAUGAGUCAAAAACAAGUAAAGUACACAAGGGAUACUGUAAAAGGGUGGGAAGAUUACUAAAUCGGCACCAGAAGCAUUAACACAAGCUAGCUUUUAUCUGCCAUAGUAUACUAUAAUGCAUUCCAACUCAACUUUUAGUCACAAUGGUUUCUAGCCAGAAGUCUCAUCAGCUUAAUGACCCUAUCCAUAGAGUUUUAAAGAAUUUGAAAGUCACAAAGCAUAAAAUAAUUGAAACUAAUGUGACACCACCUACCUUGAUUAUUAAUUAUUCAGAAUCUGAGUAGAAAGAUGGUUCAUGUGCAACUUCUAUAAGUUAAUGCUGUCACAACUUACCAUGCAAUUUCAAGAGCUCCAAAAUGCAUAAAGCAUAUAGAUUUGUUCCUGAAAAGCAUUUUUUGCAACAAAAUUUUAACAUAUUUUGCAUUAUUUUGAAGAAAAAAAAAAGAAACACUUUUCUUUCCAAUUUUUAGAAAAGACUAACGGUACAACAACCUCUUAACCUAAAAUUUUCUCCACAUCCUACUCAUGGUUCUCAAGUUCAUUAUUAACCUAAGUUGUAAUUUGGAACAGAUAAUGACAGUUGUAAGUUGUAAGUUGUAAGUUGUAAUGGUUCACAAUUGAGAUAGCACAUUACCUUAUGUUUCUUCAAGCCAAAUGUUGAAUGAGAAGCUACAGAACCACUAUGCCCAAAACGGAGCAUCUGCUGCAACUGCCAAUCUGUCUGUAUACCCAGAAUAAAUGGAUUGGCAUUAGAACUAUCUUGGAAGUAAAAAACAUACUUCCGAUGGCAUUGCAACCACAUUUUUACACUGCAAUCAUCAUUUGCAUGCAAUUUGUGGAAGAAUUACGAACAACCCUUUCCAUGUUACGAACAUCCGCUUCCAUGUUACGAACAUCAUUCCGAGAGAGAAAAUCAUCACGGUUGUCUGGGCCACUAUGGCCCUGCACCACCUCAGCAUGAUGUUGUAUUAUAUUGUCCAAAGAUAUUCCAACAUAAAGCAUAAACAUUACUUUCUGGCGCAAUUCUUCUGAAAUCCUUGGAGCAUACAUAGCUCUUGUCCCCACAGCGUCCAGAUCAAGUAUCCCAUGGCAAGGAGCCCCUGUUUUAUCCACAUGUUUUUUUUUAUUAUAUAUGAUAAGAGCCAGGAAAGGAUGGGUGUAUAAGCGUUUUACAGUAAAAUGGCAAAGGCAACCUCUAAUCACAUGGUGCCUUCCAGGCCUACUUCCCUUCCCAGUUGCAGGUUUGAUGUUAGAGCCAUCCCCUAUACCAGACUCAAUAUCUCGGUAGUCUUCAGGACCAUAUGAACACCAAUAUACUGUAUAUUCAAGAGAGCCAUCAACCCUUGGUUUGCUGAUGCUCCCUUCAGAUCUCUUCCUCCUUGACUCAAUGCGGAAACUGGCAGGGCAUUCUGCAUUUGAAGAUUCUCCUUUUACAAAAUCACCCACUCUAGCAAAAGGAAUAAGAGCAAUAUCAUCACCACCUUGACAACCACCUUCUAUUUUCACCCACUUUAUAGGGGUCACAGAAAACUCUGCACAAGGUGGAUCUUGCACUAGAAGAUUAAGGAUAUCCUCCAUUCUUGGCAUCUUGGUUUCAUGGCCCUUCAUGGUUGAAGCAAAAAAGAAGAACCCUAUCGUCCAGUAAUUGAUUGGAUAAAAUAAAUUACAAAUCAAUAAGAAACAGAGAAAGAAACUUUCCCGAAGAGGGAAAAAAAUGAAUAGAAGGAAAUUGAAGAAGUCAAUACAGUGGAAACUCUUGAAUAUAUCUUAUCUAAAGAAACGAAAUCUCAAUCUGGAAAGACGAUGAUGACGAGGUCACUGAUCCGAAUUGAAAGUGUUAAACAGUAAGGCGUGCAACGUGAUCCGCCGGAGCUCCGAUCGAAAUUCUCCCUUCCCGUUUCUACUUCGGUUUGCGAUGAUUUGUUUUUUGCGCGCGAAGCAAUAACGAAAGUGAUACAUAGAAAGGAUGAGAUCAGAAUCUGAUUUAUAUAGAGGUUCUUUAGAAGGUUUGAGGUUGAGGCUUUUACAUUCCAGAGACUUCAAAAUUAACUGUUUACAAACGAAAGCGAAAGCCGUGAGCCAUUCCUUUUUGCAACUUUCCUAAACUUCGUUUACAGGUUGCCCAGAAAAUAUCUUCCCUUUUCAAAUGUGAAUCGGCUAAGAUUUAGAACAGGCAUACUCACGGGAAAGCGUGGCAGAAAAAAGAACACUCAUCCUCCGAUUCGGUGAUAUCAACAGGUUGGAGUAAGAGAUGGACCGACGGUGACAAAACGGACCGAGAAAGAGAUAAGGAUGGACCUCAACAGCAUGGGAUUAUAGCUCUUACUGUAGCUCAAGCGAUUCCGUGAACUGCUCUCGUUGCUGAAUUUGACAGAGGGCCGUGGACGGUGGACACGUGUCCCGGUCGGCCCGACAGGUUGGGGUAAGAUUUUGGCUAUGCAUAUGAUAGAUGACCUGGAAAAUUUAUUGUAAAAUAUCUUUUUCAAGCAUGGCCUGGC
rnacentral:misc_RNA from 1 species